UACGGGGGGAGCAAGCGUUGUUCGGAUUUACUGGGCGUAAAGGGCGCGUAGGCGGUCAGCACAAGUCAGUUGUGAAAUCUCCGGGCUUAACUCGGAAAGGUCAACUGAUACUGUGCGACUAGAGUGCAGAAGGGGCAACUGGAAUUCUCGGUGUAGCGGUGAAAUGCGUAGAUAUCGAGAGGAACACCUGCGGCGAAGGCGACUUUCUGGUCUGUAACUGACACUGAGGCGCGAAAGCGUGGGGAGCAAACAGG
rnacentral:rRNA from 1 species